rnacentral:rRNA from 1 species
CCUACGGGGGGCAGCAGUGAGGAAUAUUGGUCAAUGGUCGGGAGACUGAACCAGCCAAGCCGCGUGAGGGAUGAAGGUACAGAGUAUCGUAAACCUCUUUUGUCAGGGAACAAAGGCGGGGACGCGUCCCCGGAUGAGUGUACCUGAAGAAAAAGCAUCGGCUAACUCCGUGCCAGCAGCCGCGGUAAUACGGAGGAUGCGUGCGUUAUCCGGAUUUAUUGGGUUUAAAGGGUGCGCAGGCGGUCUGUUAAGUCAGCGGUAAAAGCCCGGGGCUCAACCCCGGCCCGCCGUUGAAACUGGCAGUCUCGAGUUGGAGAGAAGUAGGCGGAAUGCGCGGUGUAGCGGUGAAAUGCAUAGAUAUCGCGCAGAACUCCGAUUGCGAAGGCAGCAUGCCGGCUCCACACUGACGCUGAGGCACGAAAGCGUGGGUAUCGAACAGGAUUAGAUACCCUUGUAGUC